AGAGUUUGAUCCUGGCUCAGGACGAACGCUGGCGGCGUGCUUAAAACAUGCAAGUCGAACGGAGUUGAUUUCCUUCGGGAGAUCAACUUAGUGGCGGACGGGUGAGUAACACGUGAGCAACCUGCCUACUACAGGGGAAUAACACUUAGAAAUAGGUGCUAAUACCGCAUGAGACCACAACCCGGCAUCGGGAAGGGGUGAAAGGAGCAAUCCGGUAGUAGAGGGGCUUGCGUCUCAUUAGCUAGUUGGUGAGGGUAACGGCCCACCAAGGCGACGAUGAGUAGCCGAUCUGAGAGGAUGACCGGCCACACUGGAACUGAGAUACGGUCCAGACUCCUACGGGAGGCAGCAGUUAGGAAUAUUGGGCAAUGGAGGAAACUCUGACCCAGCAACGCCGCGUGAAGGAUGAAGGUUUUCGGAUUGUAAACUUCUGAUCUGUGGGAAAAAACAAAUGAUGGUACCACAGGAGAAAGCUCCGGCAAACUACGUGCCAGCAGCCGCGGUAAUACGUAGGGAGCAAGCGUUGUCCGGAAUGACUGGGCGUAAAGGGAGCGUAGGUGGCCUUUUAAGUGAAAUGUGAAAGCCCGGGGCUCAACUCCGGAAUGUCAUUUCAUACUGGAAGGCUGGAGUGCAGGAGAGGUAAGCGGAAUUCCUAGUGUAGCGGUAAAAUGCGUAGAUAUUAGGAAGAACACCAGAGGCGAAGGCGGCUUGCUGGACUGUAACUGACACUGAGGCUCGAAAGCGUGGGGAGCAAACAGGAUUAGAUACCCUGGUAGUCCACGCCCUAAACGAUGGAUACUAAACGUGGGAGGUAUCGACUCCUUCCGUGUUGAAGCUAACGCAUUAAGUAUCCCGCCUGGGGAGUACGGCCGCAAGGUUGAAACUCAAAGGAAUUGACGGGGACCCGCACAAGCAGCGGAGCAUGUUGUUUAAUUCGACGCAACGCGAAAAACCUUACCAAGGAUUGACAUCGUAUGCAUAGCUUGGAAACAAGUGAAAAAAUAGCAAUAUUUCAUACAGACAGAUGGUGCAUGGUUGUCGUCAGCUCGUGUCGUGAGAUGUUGGGUUAAGUCCCGCAACGAGCGCAACCCUUGCCGUUAAUUGCCAUCAUUAAGUUGGGAACCUUAACGGGACUGCCGUAGAUAAUACGGAGGAAGAUGGGGAUGAGGUCAAAUCAUCAUGCCUCUUACACCUUGGGCUACAAACGUGCUACAAUGGCCACUACAAAGAGAUGCAAUGUCGCAAGGCGGAGCCAACCUCAAAAAAGUGGUCCCAGUUCGGAUUGUGGGCUGCAACCCGCCCACAUGAAGUCGGAGUUGCUAGUAAUCCCGAAUCAGCAUGUCGGGGUGAAUGCGUUCUCGGGUCUUGUACACACCGCCUGUCACGCCAUGGGAGUUGGGGGGACCCAAAGCCGGUGAGCUAACCCGCAAGGGAGGCAGCCGUCUAAGGUAAAACCAGCGACUGGGGUGAAGUCAUAACAAGGUAGCGGUAUCGGAAGGUGCCGCUG
rnacentral:rRNA from 1 species